rnacentral:rRNA from 1 species
AGGGACCGCCGUCGCUGAGACGGAGGAAGGUGGGGGCUACGGCAGGUCAGUAUGCCCCGAAACCCUCGGGCCACACGCGGGCUGCAAUGGUAAGGACAAUGAGUUUCGAUUCCGAAAGGAGGAGGCAAUCUCUAAACCUUACCACAGUUAUGAUUGAGGGCUGAAACUCGCCCUCAUGAAUAUGGAAUCCCUAGUAACCGCGUGUCACUAUCGCGCGGUGAAUACGUCCCUGCUCCUUGCA